UUCUCGGAAUUCCCUUUUCAGAUUGAAACUUAUUUUAAUCACAGCGGAUUCGCGUUGUCCUACUGCGCAUGCGCCGGCCACUGGCUUCAAACUGCUGGCGUGAAUCUGCUGGCUCAUUUCCGCGGCCCUGCAGAUGGAUACUAUUGGGACAAGUUGUAGCUCACGUUUAAGGAGGCCAGCAUUUUUCUCACUCACAGCAAAGCUGAAACUUCUAAUUACCAGCCUUUCAUAUUUCUUCCUUUUCAGUUAGACCAGGCCACAUAUAAUCAUCAAAUUAGCAGAGACUGAAAUUCGAUAAGGCUAAGUAAGUCAUGGAGAAGAUGAACACCAGCAGCACAAACGCUCCUGCUGCUACACCGUACACCCAGGUCUUCAGCUUACCAUCUGUACAGAAGAACAGAAUAACAGACAACUAAUCAACAACGGCUGCAUCCCAACCGCUGCUCAUUAAAACUUGCCCGCAGGAAGCUCUACAACACAAGCGGCACCAUCCUGUGCUACCUGCUGAAACCAGUUAGCAGGGGGUCUCCUAUUCCCCCAGCAAUCUCAGGAGGAUAAUCACUUUCAAUGCAAACACAGUGCUCAGAUCAGUGAACACACGAGAGAGCACAACGCAAUCGGCCCAUUUGAAGCUCCAAAGCAACGCGAGAAAGGAGCCGCACCAAUGCGCCGGUUCAAACACACAGGAAUAGAGUAACGCACAGCAGGAGUUUAACCCACUGAUUCAGAGCCGUAUGCAACG